GAAACUCACCAGGUCCAGACACAAUGAGGAUUGACAGAUUGAGAGCUCUUUCUUGAUUUUGUGGGUGGUGGUGCAUGGCCGUUCUUAGUUGGUGGAGUGAUUUGUCUGCUUAAUUGCGAUAACGAACGAGACCUUAACCUGCUAAAUAGCCCGUAUUGCUUUGGCAGUACGCCGGCUUCUUAGAGGGACUAUCGGCUCAAGCCGAUGGAAGUUUGAGGCAAUAACAGGUCUGUCUCCUGCGCCCCGG
rnacentral:ncRNA from 1 species